rnacentral:rRNA from 1 species
ACCUCAAGUCAUGUGAGAUUACCCGCUGAACUUAAGCAUAUCAAUAAGCGGAGGAAAAGAAACUAACAAGGAUUCCCCUAGUAACGGCGAGUGAAGCGGGAAGAGCACAAAUUUAAAAUCUACCUGGUUUUCAGGUCGAGUUGUAAUUUGAAGAUACGUUUUUGAUGUUCCAGGUUGGACUAAAUCCUUUGGGAUAAGGUAUCAUAGAGGGUGAGAAUCCCGUAUAUACCAACCGUAGGGAUGUUAUUAAAUACGUUUCUAAGAGUCGAGUUGUUUGGGAAUGCAGCUCUAAAUGGGUGGUAAAUUUCACCUAAUGCUAAAUAUAAGCGAGAGACCGAUAGCGAACAAGUACAGUGAUGGAAAGAUGAAAAGAACUUUGAAAAGAGAGUUAAAUAGUACGUGAAAUUGUUGAAAGGGAAACGAUUGAAGUCAGUCAUGCCGGUGGGAAUCAACUUAGGGGAAACUCUAGGUGCACUUCUUCGCUUGGCAGGUCAACGUCGAUUUUGAAUGUCAUAAAAUAAUUGGGGGAAGGUAGCUCCUUCGGGAGUGUUAUAGCCUUUGAUAGAUGUGAUGUUUGGGGUCGAGGAUUGCAACGAAUACCCUUUGGGGCUAGCCGCCUGAUCUCUAAUCGGUGUUGGGUUAUGGAUAGCAUGCUGACCGUGAUCUAAUUACUGGUUAAAAGGUUAGAGCGUGCAUAAAUUCGUUAAGGACGUUGACGUAAUGGCUUUAAACGACCCGUCUUGAAACACGGACCAAGGAGUCUAACAUGUAUGCGAGUGUUAGGGUAUUAAACCCAGACGCGAAAUGAAAGUGAGUGUAGGUGGGAUCCUUUAUUGGAGCACCAUCGACCGAUCUUGAGAUUUAUCGAUAGAAUUGAGUUAGAGC